rnacentral:rRNA from 1 species
UACGUAGGGCGCGAGCGUUGUCCGGAAUCAUUGGGCGUAAAGAGCUCGUAGGCGGCCGGUUACGUCUGCUGUGAAAUCCCGGGGCUUAACCCCGGGCGUGCAGUGGAUACGGGCUGGCUGGAGGCAGGCAGGGGAGAAUGGAAUUCCCGGUGUAGCGGUGAAAUGCGCAGAUAUCGGGAGGAACACCGGUGGCGAAGGCGGUUCUCUGGGCCUGUGCCGACGCUGAGGAGCGAAAGCGUGGGGAGCGAACAGG